UACAGAGGGUGCGAGCGUUAAUCGGAAUUACUGGGCGUAAAGGGUGCGUAGGUGGUUACGUAAGUUAGAUGUGAAAGUCCUGGGCUUAACCUGGGGAUUGCGUCUAAUACUGUGUAGCUAGAGUACUGUAGAGGAAAGUGGAAUUUCCGGUGUAGCAGUGAAAUGCGUAGAUAUCGGAAGGAACAUCAGUGGCGAAGGCGACUUUCUGGACAGAUACUGACACUGAGGCACGAAAGCAUGGGGAGCAAACAGG
rnacentral:rRNA from 1 species